UGAUAAUAUUAUGACAUCCGAAAAAUUGGAACGAUAUAGAGAAAAUUAGCAUGGGCUCUGCACAAGGAUGACACGCACAAAUCGAGAAAUGGUCCAAAUUUUU